GGGGAAUAUUGCACAAUGGGCGAAAGCCUGAUGCAGCAACGCCGCGUGAGUGAUGACGGUCUUCGGAUUGUAAAGCUCUGUCUUUUGGGACGAUAAUGACGGUACCAAAGGAGGAAGCCACGGCUAACUACGUGCCAGCAGCCGCGGUAAUACGUAGGUGGCAAGCGUUGUCCGGAUUUACUGGGCGUAAAGAAUGUGUAGGCGGAUACUUAAGUGAGAUGUGAAAGCCCCGGGCUCAACCUGAGGACUGCAGUUCAAACUGGGUAUCUAGAGUGCAGGAGAGGAAAGCGGAAUUCCUAGUGUAGCGGUGAAAUGCGUAGAGGUUAGGAAGAACAUCAGUGGCGAAGGCGGCUUUCUGGACUGUAACUGACGCUGAGGCAUGAAAGCGUGGGGAGCGAAC
rnacentral:rRNA from 1 species